CACAAAUCAUUUUGUAUUUGAUCCUGGAAGCUAUGAACCCAGCUUAGAUGCCAUCUCUUCUGUAAAGAAUAAUCUGAAACCUUCAGCUGCAAGUGAUAACCACUCUCCCAGAAUCUCUCAUCCAUCUCUUUUCAGCAUUUCGAUAGAUUUGGUGGAAUAGAGCUUUUCAUGUUGUAUUUGGAUCUCCAUUUAAGCAUUUUUGAGCACUUUUAGUGGUUGAGUUGGGAUGAAAUGCAGAGAAUUGGAAUGUGCGUCAUCUACUCAAGAUUGGCCAAUGAAGAGAUUGUAGAGAAUCUUAUCUAUGAUACCAGAUUCAGUGAAGUCUUGUGG